rnacentral:snRNA from 1 species
GUGCUUGCCUCGGCAGCACAUAUGCUGCAGUCGAAAAUGAUACAGAGAUUAGCACGGCUCCUGUGGGAGGAUGACGCGCCAAUCCAUGAAGCAUUGCAUAUCUUU